rnacentral:tRNA from 2 species
GGUGGGGUUCCCGAGCGCUCAUAAGGGAGCUGACUGCAAAUCUGCCGUCAUCGACUUCGAAGGUUCGAAUCCUUCCCCCACCACCA